rnacentral:sRNA from 1 species
UUUCGCGUCGGUGUAGCGGGUCGGGUCGUCUCCGAACUCGGCGAGCACCCGGGCGGCGAGGACCGGUCCCAGUCCUGGCUGG